GAUGAACGCCGGCGGCGUGCCUAAUACAUGCAAGUAGAACGCUGAAGGAAGGAGCUUGCUCUUUCCGGAUGAGUUGCGAACGGGUGAGUAACGCGUAGGUAACCUGCCUGGUAGCGGGGGAUAACUAUUGGAAACGAUAGCUAAUACCGCAUAACAGUAGAUGUUGCAUGAUAUCUACUUAAAGGGUGCAAUUGCACCACUACCAGAUGGACCUGCGUUGUAUUGGCUAGUUGGUGAGGUAACGGCUCACCAAGGCGACGAUACAUAGCCGACCUGAGAGGGUGAUCGGCCACACUGGGACUGAGACACGGCCCAGACUCCUACGGGAGGCAGCAGUAGGGAAUCUUCGGCAAUGGACGGAAGUCUGACCGAGCAACGCCGCGUGAGUGAAGAAGGUUUUCGGAUCGUAAAGCUCUGUUGUAAGAGAAGAACGAGUGUGAGAGUGGAAAGUUCACACUGUGACGGUAUCUUACCAGAAAGGGACGGCUAACUACGUG
rnacentral:rRNA from 1 species